AGAGUUUGAUCCUGGCUCAGGACGAACGCGGCGGCGUGCUUAACACCUGCAAGUCGAACGAUGAACCACUUCGGUGGGGAUUAGUGGCGAACGGGUGAGUAACACGUGGGCAAUCUGCCCUUCACUCUGGGACAAGCCCUGGAAACGGGGUCUAAUACCGGAUAAUACUUCCACUCGCAUGGGUGGGGGUUGAAAGCUCCGGCGGUGAAGGAUGAGCCCGCGGCCUAUCAGCUUGUUGGUGAGGUAAUGGCUCACCAAGGCGACGACGGGUAGCCGGCCUGAGAGGGCGACCGGCCACACUGGGACUGAGACACGGCCCAGACUCCUACGGGAGGCAGCAGUGGGGAAUAUUGCACAAUGGGCGAAAGCCUGAUGCAGCGACGCCGCGUGAGGGAUGACGGCCUUCGGGUUGUAAACCUCUUUCAGCAGGGAAGAAGCGAAAGUGACGGUACCUGCAGAAGAAGCGCCGGCUAACUACGUGCCAGCAGCCGCGGUAAUACGUAGGGCGCAAGCGUUGUCCGGAAUUAUUGGGCGUAAAGAGCUCGUAGGCGGUCUGUCGCGUCGGAUGUGAAAGCCCGGGGCUUAACCCCGGGUCUGCAUUCGAUACGGGCAGACUAGAGUGUGGUAGGGGAGAUCGGAAUUCCUGGCGUAGCGGUGAAAUGCGCAGAUAUCAGGAGGAACACCGGUGGCGAAGGCGGAUCUCUGGGCCAUUACUGACGCUGAGGAGCGAAAGCGUGGGGAGCGAACAGGAUUAGAUACCCUGGUAGUCCACGCCGUAAACGGUGGGAACUAGGUGUUGGCGACAUUCCACGUCGUCGGUGCCGCAGCUAACGCAUUAAGUUCCCCGCCUGGGGAGUACGGCCGCAAGGCUAAAACUUAAAGGAAUUGACGG
rnacentral:rRNA from 1 species